CGGUGGAGCAUGUGUUUAAUUCGAAGCAACGCGAAGUAACCUUACCAGGUCUUGACAUCCCGAUGCUAUUUCUAGAGAUAGAAAGUUACUUCGGUACAUCGGUGACAGGUGGUGCAUGGUUGUCGUCAGCUCGUGCCGUGAGGUGUCGGGUUAAGUCCCAUAACGAGCGCAACCCUUAUCGUUAGUUGCCAUCUGGCAAUGCAGGGGACUCUAGCGAAACUGCCACCGUAAGGUGAGAGGAAGGUGGGGAUGACGUCAAAUCAGCACGGCCCUUAUGUCCAGGGCUACACACGUGUUACAAUGGUCGGUACAGAGGGCAGCUACCUGGUGACAGGAUGCUAAUCUCGAAAACCGGUCUCAGUUCGGAUCGAAGUCUGCAACUCGACUGCGUGAAGUCGGAAUCGCUAGUAAUCGUGGAUCAGCAUGUCACGGUGAAUACGUUCCCGGGUCUU
rnacentral:rRNA from 1 species